UCCUGGGUGGCUCAGAUGGUAAAGAGUCUGCCUCCAAUGCAGGAAACCUGGGUUCGAUCCCUGGGUCGGGAA
rnacentral:tRNA from 1 species